UACAAAUAAAGUGGAAAAACGAUGGAUAUUGUAUGACGCGUAGUUCCAGAGAUUUCUUACUGGGGAAAAACCCUAUAACACAGUGUCUUUCAUCCCUAGAACCGCACGAUCAGUCACAUAUUAUUUUAUGAGUUUACAUAUGAUAUGUCACACACAACAUUUGUUACACAUGUAACAAAUUGAACUUUAUUCAUACAAAAUCUCAUACGAUACCAUGUGGGGAUAUUUCAGACAUGAUAUCAUGUUUUUUCGUGAGAUAAAUCGAAAAAAUUUUCCAUGUCGCCAUUGUACAUAUUUGGUGCUACAGCUGUUAGAGUGAAUUGAAACAUCCAGAAAAGUUGAAAAUAUUCCAGAAAAUUGCCUCCUGAGGACACCAGAGCAUAGAAAUGCCGGCAACAGACUCCUGGACAUCGGCAAGGCGCAGGCAAUGCAUAGAGAUCCGAAGUGCGAGGCGAAGGAGCUAAGAAUGCGACCUCUGGAUGAUCAUCUCGACCACACGGCGACAGAAGGAAAAAUGUACAUUUUUUUUU